UGCAAGUCGAACGCUGAAGCCUGGUGCUUGCACCGGGUGGAUGAGUGGCGAACGGGUGAGUAACACGUGAGUAACCUGCCCCUGACUUCGGGAUAAGCCCGGGAAACUGGGUCUAAUACCGGAUACGACCGCCGGACGCAUGUCUGGUGGUGGAAAGUUUUUUCGGUUGGGGAUGGGCUCGCGGCCUAUCAGUUUGUUGGUGAGGUAAUGGCUCACCAAGACGACGACGGGUAGCCGGCCUGAGAGGGCGACCGGCCACACUGGGACUGAGACACGGCCCAGACUCCUACGGGAGGCAGCAGUGGGGAAUAUUGCACAAUGGGGGAAACCCUGAUGCAGCGACGCAGCGUGCGGGAUGACGGCCUUCGGGUUGUAAACCGCUUUCAGCAGGGAAGAAGCGCAAGUGACGGUACCUGCAGAAGAAGUACCGGCUAACUACGUGCCAGCAGCCGCGGUAAUACGUAGGGUACGAGCGUUGUCCGGAAUUAUUGGGCGUAAAGAGCUCGUAGGUGGUUGGUCACGUCUGCUGUGGAAACGCAACGCUUAACGUUGCGCGUGCAGUGGGUACGGGCUGACUAGAGUGCAGUAGGGGAGUCUGGAAUUCCUGGUGUAGCGGUGAAAUGCGCAGAUAUCAGGAGGAACACCGGUGGCGAAGGCGGGACUCUGGGCUGUAACUGACACUGAGGAGCGAAAGCAUGGGGAGCGAACAGGAUUAGAUACCCUGGUAGUCCAUGCCGUAAACGUUGGGCACUAGGUGUGGGGGGCAUUCCACGUUCUCCGCGCCGUAGCUAACGCAUUAAGUGCCCCGCCUGGGGAGUACGGUCGCAAGGCUAAAACUCAAAGGAAUUGACGGGGGCCCGCACAAGCGGCGGAGCAUGCGGAUUAAUUCGAUGCAACGCGAAGAACCUUACCAAGGCUUGACAUACACCGGACCGUCCUGGAAACAGGUCCUCUUCUUUGAAGCUGGUGUACAGGUGGUGCAUGGUUGUCGUCAGCUCGUGUCGUGAGAUGUUGGGUUAAGUCCCGCAACGAGCGCAACCCUCGUUCUAUGUUGCCAGCACGUGAUGGUGGGAACUCAUAGGAGACUGCCGGGGUCAACUCGGAGGAAGGUGGGGAUGACGUCAAAUCAUCAUGCCCUUUAUGUCUUGGGCUUCACGCAUGCUACAAUGGCUGGUACAGAGAGAGGCGAACCCGUGAGGGCAAGCGAAUCCCUUAAAGCCAGUCUCAGUUCGGAUCGUAGUCUGCAAUUCGACUACGUGAAGUCGGAGUCGCUAGUAAUCGCAGAUCAGCAA
rnacentral:rRNA from 1 species